UUUCCUACGGGCGGCAGCAGUAGGGAAUAUUGGUUAAUGUGCGAAAGCGCGAACCAGCAACGCCGCGUGUGCGAUGAAGGCCUUCGGGUCGUAAAGCACUUUUUGCAGGGACGAGGAAGGACGGUACCUGCAGAAUAAGUCUCGGCUAACUACGUGCCAGCAGCCGCGGUAAAACGUAGGAGACGAGCGUUAUCCGGAUUUACUGGGCGUAAAGCGCGUGCAGGCGGCAUGGCAAGUUGGAUGUGAAAGCUCCCGGCUUAACUGGGAGAGGUCGUUCAAUACUGCCAGGCUUGAGGGUGGUAGAGGGAAGCGGAAUUCCGGGUGUAGUGGUGAAAUGCGUAGAUAUCCGGAGGAACACCAGUGGCGAAAGCGGCUUCCUGGCCCAUUUCUGACGCUCAGACGCGAAAGCUAGGGUAGCAAACGGGAUUAGAUACCCUAGUAGUC
rnacentral:rRNA from 1 species